AACGAACGCUGGCGGCAUGCCUAACACAUGCAAGUCGAACGAAGGCUUCGGCCUUAGUGGCGCACGGGUGCGUAACGCGUGGGAAUCUGCCCCUCGGUUCGGAAUAACAGUUAGAAAUGACUGCUAAUACCGGAUGAUGACUUCGGUCCAAAGAUUUAUCGCCGAGGGAUGAGCCCGCGUAAGAUUAGGUAGUUGGUGGGGUAAAGGCCUACCAAGCCGACGAUCUUUAGCUGGUCUGAGAGGAUGAUCAGCCACACUGGGACUGAGACACGGCCCCGACUCCUACGGGAGGCAGCAGUGGGGAAAAUUGGACAAUGGGCGAAAGCCUGAUCCAGCAAUGCCGCGUGAGUGAUGAAGGCCUUAGGGUUGUAAAGCUCUUUUACCAGGGAUGAUAAUGACAGUACCUGGAGAAUAAGCUCCGGCUAACUCCGUGCCAGCCGCCGCCGUAA
rnacentral:rRNA from 1 species